rnacentral:rRNA from 1 species
CCAAUGGUAGGAUAGUGGCCUNCCAUGGUUUCAACGGGUAACCNGGAAAUAAGGGUUCGAUUCCGGAGAGGGAGCCUGAGAAACGGCUACCACAUCCAAGGAAGGCAGCAGGCGCGCAAAUUACCCAAUCCCGACACGGGGAGGUAGUGACAAUAAAUAACGAUACAGGGCCCUUUUGGGUCUUGUAAUUGGAAUGAGUACAAUGUAAAUACCUUAACGAGGAACAAUUGGAGGGCAAGUCUGGUGCCAGCAGCCGCGGUAAUUCCAGCUCCAAAAGCGUAUAUUAAAGUUGUUGCAGUUAAAAAGCUCGUAGUUGAACCUUGGGCUUGGCUGGCCGGUCCAUCUUUUUNAUGCGUACUGGACCCAGCCGAGCCUUUCCUUNUGGGUAGCCAUUUAUGGCGAACCAGGACUUUUACUUUGAAAAAAUUAGAGUGUUCAAAGCAGGCCUUUGCUCGAAUAUAUUAGCAUGGAAUAAUAGAAUAGGACGUUAUGGUUCUAUUUUGUUGGUUUCUAGGACCAUCGUAAUGAUUAAUAGGGACGGUCGGGGGUAUCAGUAUUCAGUUGUCAGAGGUGAAAUUCUUGGAUUUACUGAAGACUAACUACUGCGAAAGCAUUUACCCAANGACGUUUUGGUUNNUUNUCCCAAAGGGG